GGGGGCGACAUUGGUUUCGACUGUUGUUGACUUGGGUUCAGUGGCACGUAGAGGUGAGGGUCCUGCUUAAAAACCUUCAAAACAAUAACCGCAAAUAACGAAUUUGCUCUAGCAGCUUAAUUUAAGCUCUACGGUUUCAACGGCUGUUUCUCUCGGUGGCCUAGAAACUGACACCUCUCGAGAGACUUUUCUAUACUGUCUUCAGCUUCAGUAGGAAUCGAACUAUAAGUUGGAUCGGAAGUGACCCCUGGUUGUAGGGCAAGUCCUUCCAAAAUUUAUUUACAACCUAAAUGUGUAGAAGCUGUACUUGAGAACGAUAGGACCUGGGUUCGAAUCCCAGCGUCUCCAGAA
rnacentral:tmRNA from 1 species